CAAUAGCGUAUAUUUAAGUUGUUGCGGUUAAAAAGCUCGUAGUUGGAUUUCUGCCGAGGACGUCCGGUCCGCCCUCUGGGUGUGUACAUGGUACGGCCUGGGCAUCUUCUUGGAAAACGUAUCUGCACUUGACUGUGUGGUGCGGUAUCCAGGACUUUUACUUUGAGGAAAUUAGAGUGUUUCAAGCAGGCCUACGCCUUGAAUACAUUAGCAUGGAAUAAUAAGAUAGGACCUCGGUUCUAUUUUGUUGGUUUCUAGAGCUGAGGUAAUGAUUAAUAGGGAUAGUUGGGGGCAUUCGUAUUUAACUGUCAGAGGUGAAAUUCUUGGAUUGUUAAAGACGGACUACUGCGAAAGCAUUUGCCAAGGAUGUUUUCAUUGA
rnacentral:rRNA from 1 species